rnacentral:rRNA from 1 species
CUACGUGCCAGCAGCCGCGGUAAUACGUAGGGUGCGAGCGUUAAUCGGAAUUACUGGGCGUAAAGCGAGCGCAGACGGUUACUUAAGCAGGAUGUGAAAUCCCCGGGCUCAACCUGGGAACUGCGUUCUGAACUGGGUAGCUAGAGUAUGUCAGAGGGGGGUAGAAUUCCACGUGUAGCAGUGAAAUGCGUAGAGAUGUGGAGGAAUACCGAUGGCGAAAGCAGCCCCCUGGGAUAAUACUGACGUUCAUGCUCGAAAGCGUGGGUAGCAAACAGGAUUAGAUACCCUGGUAGUCCACGCCCUAAACGAUGUCGAUUAGCUGUUGGGCAGCUUGACUGCUUAGUAGCGUAGCUAACGCGUGAAAUCGACCGCCUGGGGAGUACGGUCGCAAGAUUAAAACUCAAAGGAAUUGACGGGGACCCGCACAAGCGGUGGAUGAUGUGGAUUAAUUCGAUGCAACGCGAAGAACCUUACCUGGUCUUGACAU